UCUGAUAGGGAUUGCAUUUUAUCUGUAAAUCAUUUUGAGGACUAUUGUCAUUUUAACAUUGUUAGGUCUUCCAAUCAGGAUUUCUUCUCAUUUAUUUAGAUCUUUCAUUUCCUUCAAUAAUGUUGUGUGGUUUCACUGUAGCAAUCUUAUACUUUCUUGAUUACAUCUAGCCCUAAGUAUUUUUUUUUUGAGAGUACUACAAAUGGAAUUGCUUUGUUAAUUCCAGAUUGCUCAUCACUGCUACAUAGAAAUACAACUAAUUUUUGUAUAUUGUACAUUGAUCUUCUAUAUUGCCAUUUUGCUGAGCUAGUUGGUUAAAAACUAAAGCUACUAGUUUUUACUGGGUUCCUUAGCAUUUUCUAUGUAUAAGAUAAGGUGUUUUACAAACAGAGAUAAUUUUACUUCUUUUAUUUUUCCAAUCUGAUACCUUUCGGUCUUUUUCUUGACUAAUUGCCCUGGCUAGAUCUUCCAGUAUAGUGUUGAGGAGAAGUGGCAAGAGCAGACAUCCUUGUCUUGUUUCCUAAAAGCUUUUAGCUUUCACCAUUAAAUACGACAUUUGCUCUAACCGCUUUGGAAAACAAUAUGGAGGUUCCCCAAAAAGCUAAAAAUAGAUCUAUCAUAUGAUUCAGCAGUUCCACAUCUGGAUAUUUGCCCACAGGAAACGAACACAGGAGUUCAAUGAGGUAUAUGCAUCCCUCAUGUUUAUCGCAGCAUUAUUCCCAAUAGCCAAGAUAUGGAAACAAUCCAAAUGUCCAACAAGAGAUUAAUGGAUAGAAAAGUUGUGGUACAUACAUCUAAUGGAAUAUUAUUCAGCCAGGAGAAAGGAGGAUAUCCAGCCAUUUGCAGAAUGGACCUUCCAUGAAUGGACCUUGAGCACAUUAUGCUAAGCAAAGGAAGCCAGACAGUGAAAGAUGCAGCAAUGCCCAAAACCCACCAGCGGUCACCCUGGUCAGAGCCAGGCUCACCAUCAAGGGACUAAACAGAUUCAGGUAUUUAAUCUCUAGAUACAAUCUCCAGCAGUGCUGAGUCUUUCUCAUGGGAAUGAUGAAUUCUAGUACUUACCUUUCACAACACUUCAGGAGUUAGCCCUUUCUAAGUUUAAAAAAGGGGUAAGGGGCAAACCUACCAACAGGGAAGACUUUCACAUUUACAUUAGAAUUGCACUGGAAUUCUGUAGAAUCUUGGACUUUUUUUUUUUCCCUUAAUUUUAGACAAGAAAUAUAAAGAAUGCUCCCUGGGAAGUAGUCAAUCAACCAUUCUAAGUUCAGUCCAAGAAAAUUUUAUUGUUCUCGAUCCUACUUUCCACAAAUGCAUAAAUAAAAUGCAGGAAAUUCCCACUAUGCUGAGUGCCCCUGGGUUGUAUCAUAGGACAGGAGAGGAUGGGGUAGAGAAGUCUGCAGUUAUUAAAUACAAAGACAGAUGCAUGAGUUUUGUUUCAUGGGGUGUGUGUGUGUGUGUGUGUGUGUGUGUGUGUGUGUAGAGUUAAAGCUUAUGGCAAUAAGAAAAUUCAGCACGAUCUGAGAGAUCUUCCUGUCACGAGAUCUGUAGACGUAGCUCAAAGAGUGUGACGGGGAAUCAGCAACACCGUCUUCCUUAACUGGUGUUGUAGUCAUUUCUUAAUGGGGUGGGGGGGGGGAGAAGGACCACUUUCAUGCCUUCCUGACCAA